rnacentral:rRNA from 1 species
CACGUAAGGCGCGAGCGUUGUUCGGAAUCAUUGGGCGUAAAGGGCAUGCAGGCGGCCGUGCAAGCCCGGCGUGAAAUGGCGGGGCCCAACCCCGUCACUGCGCUGGGAACUGCAUGGCUAGGGUCGCCGAGGGGCAGCCGGAAUUCCAGGUGUAGGGGUGAAAUCUGUAGAUAUCUGGAAGAACACCGAUGGCGAAGGCAGGCUGCCAGCGGACGACCGACGCUGAGGUGCGAAGGCGCGGGGAGCGAAC